UACAGAGGGUGCAAGCGUUGUUCGGAAUUAUUGGGCGUAAAGCGCGCGUAGGCGGCUUGCAAGUCGGGUGUGAAAGCCCUCAGCUCAACUGAGGAGGGCGCCCGAAAACUGCAGAGCUUGAGUGCCGGAGAGGGUGGCGAAUUCCCCAAGUAGAGGUGAAAUUCGUAGAUAUGGGGAGGAACACCGGUGGGCGAAGGCGGCCACCUGGACGGGUAACUGACGCUGAGGCGCGAAAGCGUGGGUAGCAAACAGG
rnacentral:rRNA from 1 species